rnacentral:rRNA from 1 species
UGGGGAAUUUUGGACAAUGGGGGGAAACCCUGAUCCAGCCAUCCCGCGUGUGCGAUGAAGGCCUUCGGGUUGUAAAGCACUUUUGGCAGGAAAGAAACGUCGCGGGUUAAUACCCCGCGAAACUGACGGUACCUGCAGAAUAAGCACCGGCUAACUACGUGCCAGCAGCCGCGGUAAUACGUAGGGUGCAAGCGUUAAUCGGAAUUACUGGGCGUAAAGCGUGCGCAGGCGGUUCGGAAAGAAAGAUGUGAAAUCCCAGAGCUUAACUUUGGAACUGCAUUUUUAACUACCGGGCUAGAGUGUGUCAGAGGGAGGUGGAAUUCCGCGUGUAGCAGUGAAAUGCGUAGAUAUGCAGAGGAACACCGAUGGCGAAGGCAGCCUCCUGGGAUAACACUGACGCUCAUGCACGAAAGCGUGGGGAGCAAACAGGAUUAGAUACCCUGGUAGUCCACGCCCUAAACGAUGUCAACUAGCUGUUGGGGCCUUCGGGCCUUGGUAGCGCAGCUAACGCGUGAAGUUGACCGCCUGGGGAGUACGGUCGC